AUUCACAAGCUUUAGCUGCUCUAUGCGAUUCCAUCACGGAUCCGAAGAACUUUUCAAAUGUGCAGCUCCAUUUUUCAAAAAGACAGUAGCGGAUUCGAAUCUCCGGUGCAGGAGAAGGCGUUGGAUGCUUUGAUUGCGUUCUUAAAAGCGGCUGACGUUGAUGCCGGAAGGUGAUGCCGUUUUCCCUUUUAAACUUCUUUUAUAUAUGAAUUUGUAAUUCAUUGGUAAGAACCGCAUAAUAGAAAUAUGAUUUGGCGUUAGAGGAAGCUUCGAUGCGGAACAAGACAGUAGCGGUCGUCAACAGGGCUUACGUCGUGUAAAGCGUUAAUGCGGAGACCACAAUGCUGGACCUUUUCUUGGAGAGCUUUUGGCUGGGGGAAGAUACGAGGCCAUUGCUGGAUCAGACGGCUUACGAUCGGUGCAUGUUCAAGCGAUUGCACUGUUACAGAUUGGUGACGGAGGGUGUGGAUUUCGGGGAGGAGAAGGUAUUCAUGUCCCGGGAUUUUAUCAAGAUGAUGUGGAGAAGAACUUUUUUGCUUAUGGAAGUGUUGAGGCGUGGCUACAGUUUCAUUUUGCAAGUUGGCGAACUUGUGCUAUUGUAUAGGACCACUUGGAUGAGAUAUUUGCUUUCUACAGAGUUCCUGCUUGUGUGUGAGUACCUGGGUGAAUGGAGAAGUAGAAAUUAGUGAGUAAAAUGCAUCAGGGAGAAUAAGAUGUCCUAAGAUCGUCACGGGAGAGUUUGAAGGAGUCGUGAAUUUCUAUGGCAGGAAGGGCAUACUGCCUUCGCAACAAAGGAAGAGGCAGACACUGAGGUAGCGGUCUUAAAUUUUUUACUUUUGGGAAGUAUUUAAACUUAGAGAGGUGAAGUUUGUCCACUGUGCUGUUGGAAUCCAAUGAACUCCCAGAAGAUAUUGAAGGUGUAGCAGAGGAUUCAAUCUCUUCAAGCUGGAAAAGCCAAGGCUUAGCACUUCUUCAAGUGGAAUGUUAUUUAAUGUUGCAUUCCAUGGUCGUUUAUCCUAGUCAGAACUUGAAUUUGGUGUUAUUGAAACAGUGUUUUGUAGCUACCUUGUGUACUAGCUUCUUUAACCAUGAUUGUUAAUUAUUACGUGUUUUUUAGCUUCUUUUAUAA